UUUUUCCUAGCCACCGUGCUUCUACAUUUGCAUUGCUUGCUCUUUGGGGUUUUAGGCUGGGUUCUGUACACGACCUUUGUGACAAUCUGUUGAUGUAAAAAGCUUUAUAAAUACAUUUGAUUGAUUGAAGUGGAUUUAACAGCUGACAUCGAUAAGGGCUUUCACAUGGAUUCACCUGGUCAGUCUAUGUCAUGGAAAGUUUUUCCUGAAGUUUUGUCCACCCAGUGUACAUAUGAAGUGGGUAAAACAGUAUGUAAACAUUAUUAAAGUGACCAGUGUUCAAUGACUAUGUACAUAGGGCAGCAGUCUCUAAGGUGCAGGGUUGAGUACCAGGAUGUAGCCGGCUAGUAACAGUGAUUAAAGUUCAGGGCAUGGUACUGGGCAGAGGCCAGCUGGUGGUGACUAUUUAACUGGAGAUAGAAGCUGUUUUUCAGUCUCUCGGUCCCAGCUUUAAUGUACAUAUACCGUCUCCGCCUUUCAGAUGGAAGCGGGGUGAACAGGCCGUGGCUCGGGUGGCUGAGGUCCUUGAUGAUCUUCUUGUCCUUUCUGUGACACUGGGUGCUGUAGAUGUCCUGGAGGGCAGGCAGUUGGGCUGACCGCACCAUCAUCUAGAGAGCCCUGCUGUUGUGGACGGUGCAGUUGCCGUACCAGGCGGUGAUAUAGCCCGACAGGAUGCUCUCAAUGGUGCAUCUGUAGAAGUUUGUGAGGGUCUUGGGGGCCAAGCCACAUAUCUUCAUCCCCCUGAGGUUGAAGAAGCGCUAUUGUCUGUAUAGAGAAACCAUUUCAGGUUGUCAGUGAUGUGCACGCAGAGGAACUUGAAGCUUUUCACCUUCUCCACUGCGGCCCUGUUGAUGUGGGGGAGUGCUCCCUCUGCUGUCUCCUGAAGUCCACGAUAAGCUCCUUCGUUUUGUUGACAUUGAGGGAGGAGUUAUUUUCCUGGCACCACUCUGCCAGGGCCCUCACCUCCUCCCUGUAGGCUGUCUCGUCAUUGUUGGUAAAUAGGCCUAUCACUUUUGUGUCAUCUGCAAACUUUAUGAUUGAGUUGGAGACGUGUGUGGCCACCGUAUGACCUGGCGAAAUCCUGCACAGAGCCUUCACCGUGCUGCCACUUUAAGAGCGCAUCAGCAGUAAGGAAGGAGGAAAUAAAGAUAGCUCCUCCGGCUCUCUGUGCGAAGCGCUCGGUUGGCGCGCAGUUUGACAGUGUGUGCAACUCUGCAGAAGUCUUGUUUAUUUUCAGCUUGCUUAGUUGUAAACUCGAUCCGCCGGUGUUAGGUUGUAAUAUUUGGGACCGCUCCUGUCAUUAUUCGCAUGGCGUAGUAGCAACAUUGUUGCGAAGCUUUGAAAAACAAACAGUCAUGUGUAUCAGACGGACAGACAGUGCAACUUCAAGCCUGAAGUCAACUGCUAAGAACACCCCCUCUCUCUCUUACUCUCAUUUCCCCUCUAUCGCUCCAGUGCUUUACUCUGCAGCAGACUGUCUUUUUUUUUGUUAGGGCGCUCCCUUUGGUGUUUAGUGUCGUUGUAUUUGGUGUGACGUUUUAGUUAAGAGAGUUUCCGCGAGAGUUUUUGUUUGUUGUUUGAACUGUAUUGAUUUUGUGUGGGACUAUUUACAUUUGGCCGAGAAUAUUUUUUGAUAUUUUAAGGCCUUUGUUUGGUCUAUGAACCCCCCACCCCACACAUCCACUCAUAUCUCCUGCACUCCUCCCCUGGGAGGACCUGAGCCCUAGGACCAUGCCCCAGGACUACCUGACAUGAUGACUCCUUGCUGUCCCCAGUCCACCUGGCCAUGCUGCUGCUCCAGUUUCAACUGGCCUGGGCCCUAGGACCAUGUCCCAGGACUACCUGACAUGAUGACUCCUUGCUGUCCCCAGUCCACCUGGCCAUGCUGCUGCUCCAGUUUCAACUGUUCUGCCUUACUAUUAUUCAACCAUGCUGGUCAUUUAUGAACAUUUGAACAUCUUGGCCACGUUCUGUUAUAAUCUCCACCCGGCACAGCCAGAAGAGGACUGGCCACCCCACAUAUGCUCUCUCUAAUUCUCUCUUUCUUUCUCUCUCUCUCGGAGGACCUGAGCCCUAGGACCGUGCCCCAGGACUACCUGACAUGAUGACUCCUUGCUGUCCCCAGUCCACCUGACUGUGCUGCUGCUCCAGUUUCAACUGUUCUGCCUUAUUAUUAUUCGACCAUGCUGGUCAUUUAUGAACAUUUGAACAUCUUGGUCAUGUUCUGUUAUAAUCUCUACCCGGCACAGCCAGAAGAGGACUGGCCACCCCACAUAGCCUGGUUCCUCUCUAGGUUUCUUCCUAGGUUUUGGCCUUUCUAGGGAGUUUUUCCUAGCCACCGUGCUUUUACACCUGCAUUGUUUGCUGUUUGGGGUUUUAGGCUGGGUUUCUGUACAGCACUUUGAGAUAUCAGCUGAUGUACGAAGGGCUAUAUAAAUAAAUUUGAUUUGAUUUGA